UUCCAGGCCACCCCAGUAAAGCAAAUAUCAUGAUAAAGGAGUCACAUUAAUUUUUUGGUUUCCUGAUGCAUAUAAAAGUUAUGUUUACACUAUACUGUAGUCUAUUACUGUGCAAUAAUAGCAUUAUAUUUAAAAAACUAUGUACAUGUCUUAAUUUUAAAAUAUUCCUAAAAAGCCCUAACCAUCAUCUGAGCCUUCAGCGGAUCACAAUAGUAACAUCAGAGAUCACUGAGCACAGACUGCCCUAACAGAUAUAAUGGUGAAAUGUUGUGAGAAUUACCAAAAUGUGACCCAGACACUCAAAGUAAGCAAAUGAUGUUGGAAAAAUUGUGUUGAUGGAUAUGCUCAACACAGGGCUGCCACAAACGUUCAAUUUGCUAAGAAAGGAAGAAAGACCCCACAGUGUCCACAAAGCAUAGUAAGGCAAUGCACGUAAAAUAAGGUAUGCUCGGGGCGUUCCCAUCGUGGCUCAGUGGUUAGCGAAUCUGACUAGGAACCAUGAGGUUUCGGGUUCAAUCCCUGCCCUUGCUCAGUGGGUUAAGGAUCUGGCGUUGCCGUGAGCUGUGGUGUAGGUUGCAGAGGCGGCUUAGAUCCCGCGUUGCUGUGGCUGUGGUGUAGGCCAGCAGCUACAGCUCCAAUUAGACCUCUAGCCUGGGAAUCUCCAUAUGCUGUGGGAGUGGCCCUAGAAUAAAGGCAAAAAAGACAAAAAAAAAAAAAAAAAAGAGGUAUGCUUGUAUUUUGUGACCUUGCCAGAUUCAUUUAUUUGUCCUGGGAGUUUAUUCUACAUUCCUUGGGAUUUUCUAUGUGCACAAUUAUGUCAUUUUUAAGUAGGGACAAUUUUUUUUUUCCUUUUCAACCUGUAUGCCUUUUAAAAAAAAUUUAACAGUUUUACUGAAAUAUAAUCCACAUAUGAUACAGGUCACUCAUUUAAAGUGUACAACUCAAUAUUUUUUAGUCUAUCCAUAGAAUUUAUAUACCUAUCAACCAAAAUAUUCAUCAACCCCAAGAAAAAACCCUGUACCCAUUAGCAGUCCUCUCUGUUCCCUGAAAAUACUAUUCUCCUUUCUGUUUCUUGGAUUUACCUGUUCUGGACAUUUCAUAUAAAUGGAAUCAUACAGUGUGUGGUAUUUUGUGACUGUAUGCCUUUUUUAUUGCCAUGUAGUUAACGUACACUAUCAUGUAGUUUAGAGCUAUACAACAGUGAUUCACAAUGUUUACAGGUGAUACUCCGUUAUUAUGAAAUACUGGCCCUGUUCCCUGUGUGGUACAGUGUAUCCUUGUUUAUGUUAUACAGGGUGGCUUGUACCUCUUAACCCCCUACCCCCGUCUUGCCCCUCCCUGCACCUUCUCUACACUGAUAACCGCUAGUUUGUUCUCUAUAUCCGUGAGUCUGUUUCCUCUAUUAUAUUCACUAGUGGCUUUUGUUUGUUUGUUUUGUUUGUUCAUUUGUUCUGCUUUUUAGGGCCACACCCGCGGCAUAUGAAGGUUCCCAGCCGAGGGGUUGAAUCGGAGCUGUCGCAGACAGCUGCAGGCACAGGGGAUCCACGCCACGUCAGAGACCUACACCACAACUCAAGGCAACACUGGAUCCUUAACCCACUGAGUGAGGCCAGGGAUCGAACCUGCAUCCUCAUUGAUGCUAGUCAGAUUUGCUGAGCCACGAGGGGAACUCCACUAGUUUAUUUUUUAGAUUCCACGUGUGGGUGAUACAGUGUUUGUCUUUCUUGGCCUGCCUUAUUUCACUUAAGAAAAUAUCCUUUUAUAUUUAUUGUUUGCUUUAUUGUACUGACUAGAACUUCUAGCAAUGUGUGGAAUAAGCGUGGUGAGAGCAGACGUCCUUGCCCUGUUCCUGACCCUCGGGGAAGGCGUUCAGUCUUGCCGUGUGAAGUGUGACAUUGGUGUUCAUCUUUUGCUAGUGCUCUUUAUCAAAUUAAGGAAUUUCCCCCCUUCCUAUUUUUUGAGAGUUUUUAUCAUGAAGGGGUAUUGAAAUGUGUCAACUGUGUUUGUUUUUUUUUUUCUGCGUUGAUUGAUAGGACCAUGUGUUUUUUCUUCUUUAGCUUAUUCCAUAAUCGAUUACAGUGAUUGAUUUUUUAAAUAUUGAAUUAAUUUUACAUCUUUGGAAUAAACCUCACUUGGUCAUAGUAUGUAAUUCUUUUUAUAUCUUGCUGAAUUCUGUUUUACUUAUGAGUCCAUGAUUGAUUUUGAGUGAAUUUUUGUAGGAAAAUCUUGGACAGACAUAAGAACAGUCCUGAGGAAGCUUUCCCCCAAGAACCCAUUUAGAACUCAUGCUCCCAUAUUAUCCUUGCAUUACGUGGCAGUACUCCAACAGUCAUUUGUUGUUUCUAUAUCCUGGGAUACUUUCAAGCUGAAGCUCCCAGACUCCUUUAUAAAUAUUUAUUACAUGGUCCUGCACUUCUCAGGAUGAAGGGAAUGAGAUGCUGGAGAACUCACGUCAUAGAGAAUCCACAACAUACCUUUAUCUUACUCUCUUUUCUCUAAUCCUCCUGCUGUCCUUUUUUCCUCCUGCCUACUGUGAACGCUUACUUACAUUUUAAAAUUGCAUUUAUCAGUUUGAACAUAUUGAUUGAAUGAAGAAAAAGUCAACGGAGCUUUACUGAAUUCCCACACAGGCUGAACACUCAGCCAGGUCACUCUUGGCCACAGAGGACACAAACCUUAAGAUGCUCAGAGCUUAAAGGGAAGGAAGGCAUAUAAGCAACUGAAAUGCCAAAGUCGAGGGAAGAAAUGCCAAAGAAAACAAGAUUGUUAAGGGAACAGAAGACAUGAGCACCCGCUCUGCCUGGGAAGCUAGUAAAGUCCUUCCAGGAGAAGUGACACUUAAGCUGGCACUGAGAGAACACGGGAACUUUCCAGAUAAGAGGUGAGGUAAAAGGCAUUGUAGGAAAAAUCAUCAGCUUGUGCAAAGACUUAAAAGUCAUGUGAUUAUGUAGCACAUUGGGGCAAUAGUAAGUAAUUUGGUAUGUAUCUGUACGUUCUAUAAGACCAAGAAUUCAUGCUGUAUCCUUAGCAUCUAGAAUGGUGGCCGUAGCAUAGUAAGCACUAAAUAUUUAUUAGAAAGAAGGGAGGGACGCUGGAAAGGAGGGAGGGAAGGAGGAAGGAAGAGAGGGAGAAAGAGAGGGAUGAGGUCAAGGAGGUAAGAAUGGUUUGGUGACAAAGAGCAAAUGCCUCCUUGAAGACCGAAAGAAGGCUAGAAGCUAUUGUUCAUAGUCUACUUGGGAAAUAACAAUAAAUACAAAAUGUCUGUGAUACAUUGUAAAAAAGGACAUGCUGUAAAACGCCUAUAAGAACUGUUCGGAGGGGUCAGGGGAAGGAGAGGCCCACUUCACCCGAAGGGAUCGGCGAAGUUGUCCUUGGAGCUAGACGCUUUGGAAUUGCCUGUGCUUCACUGUGAAUGGUAGGGUUUUCCCAAAAACGCGUGCAUGAAAUUGGAGCAGAAGGUGUUGUAGCAGAAGAGGGAUGUCCGUUUGGGACUAGACGGGACAACUUUGCCGGCUCUGUCAUAAAUUUAUCAGCAUUUUAUAGGCAGCCGUUUAUCAGCCUGCACCACUUCUUACAAGCAGAACCUGACAGGCUCCGAUGUUAUCUGUAGCAAACACCUUUGUCUUGUUUAUGAGGGUGUCUGCGUGUGUGUGUUCAUGCAUGCACCUGCACACCAGUGAUUUGGAGACAGCUCUUUCUGUAGAGACAGACACUGAAGGAGACACAUCAUCUGAAGCACAAGCCUCAGAACUUUAAACAGAUGCACCUGCAGCCCCCACACUUGCCCCCACCUGGUGCCCCUGCCUCAUGCACACCCACUGUCACACAGAGUUCUGUAAGCACUGGCCUGGGCAAGAUUUUAGGUGACUCUAAGUAAAUAGUACUUAUACUUAUUUUCCUAGCUCUAUCCUAUACCUGAAUCCUCAUUUUAGUCUAAGGCUUAUAAGGUACUAGUUAUAUCCCCAAGACCUGCUAGGUUUUGUAAGGAGUUCAUGUAAGGAAGUGAUUCAUUAAUUAAUGUAUAUUUAGUGAUAACCACCUAUGUGUCAGGCAUUAUUCUGAACACUGAAAUGCAGCCUGGGAUACAAAGAACCAAUCUCUGCUCUCAUGGGCGUUUACAUUCUGGGAGGUGGGUAGAAUCAACAAAAAUGUAGUAUUUUAGGUGAUGUGAGUGCUAGUGAGACCAGCACAGCAGAGUGAGGGGGCAAGAGAGUGUGGGGGUUGGAUGGUUCAAAACAACCUGUCCAGUAGUAUGUCAUUUGAAUGGGGACUUGAAGGAAAGAAUAAGCGAAGGGAACAUCUUAGGGGAGGAGUAUUCCAGGCGGCGGGAACAACUAGAGCAAAGACCUUUCGGCAGGAGUGUGUGGCCAGUGUCGCUAAAGCAGAAUAGGCCGGGUGGAAAGUAGCAAGAGAUGAGAUGAAGAGAUGAAGAGAUGAGGAGAUGAAGAGAUGAGGGAACUGUCAUAUCAGUCAGGCCCACUGGCCAUUGGGAGGACAUUGAGCCUGACCCUAAGUGAGAUGGAAAGCCAGUGGAGCCUUGGUGCAGAGAAGUGACAUGCUCUGAUCUCCAUCGGCUUCCGUGUUGAGAGUAGCGUGCAGGAUGAAAGUGUAGAAGCAGGAACAUGGUACAAUGAUGGACUCAACCAAAUGAAUAACAGUGGAGGUGCAGAGAAGUGACCAGGUCGUAGGUGUAUUUUGAACUCUUUGAACCUGUAGGGUUUGCUAUUGAGUCAGACGUGGAAUGGGAAAGAAAAGAGUCAACAGUGACAUCAGGAUCUUUGGUCUGAGCAACCAGAAGGCUGGAGCUGCUCUUAACUGAGAUGGGAAAGACGGGGGGAAGGACAGGUUUGGAGGUUAUCAAGUGCUCGUUUCCGAGCACAAUACAUUUGAGAUGUCUAUUAGUGAAGGCUUGGAUGUAAGACUCUGGAGUUCAGUAGAUGGCUCUGGGGAGUUCCCAUUGUGGCUCAAUGCAUUAAGGAUCUGGCAUUACUGCAACUACGGCUUAGGUUGCAACGGGGGCUCGGAUCUGAUCCCUAGCCCGGGAACUCCAUAUGCCUCAGUGCAACAAAAAAAUAGAUAAAUUAAAUUUGCAAUUCCUGUUGCAGCUCAGUAGGUUAAGAAUCUGACUAGCAUUCGUGAGGAUGUGGGUUUGAUCCCUGGCUUUUCUCAGUGGGUUAAGGAUCUGGUGUUGCCACAAGCUGUGGCAUAGGUCACAGAUGUGGCUCAGAUCUGGCAUUGCUGUAGUUGUGGUAUAGGCAGUUCCAAGUCAACCUCUAGCCUGGGAACUUCCAUAUGCUGCAGGUACAGCCCUGAAAAGAUGACUCCCUCCUCCAAAAAAAAAAAAAGAUGGGUCUGGGCUAGAGAUAUAAAUUUGGGGAUUACAGCAAUUAGAUGGCUUUUAAAGCUAUGAAAUGAAAUAACUUAGGAAGUGGGUAUAGAAAGAGAUGAGAAAGAUAUAAGAAAAAGAUUGUAUAUGUAUGUGUGGGUCACUUUGCUGUACAGCAGAAAUUGACACGACAUUGUAAGUCAACUCUAAUUUUUUUAAAAAUUUAGAAAGAGUCUGAUGGAGUUCCCGUCGUGGCUCAGUGGUUAACGAAUCUGACUAAGAACCAUGAGGUUGUGGGUUUGAUCCCUGGCCUUGCUCAGUGGGUUAAGGAUCCGGGGUUGCCGUGAGCUGUGGUGUAGUUCGCAGACCCCGCUCAGAUCCCCCGUUGCUGUGGCUGUGGUGUAGGCCGGCGGCUACAGCUCCAAUUAGACCCCUAGCCUGCGAACCUCCAUAUGCUGCGAGAGUGACCCAAGAAAUGGCAAAAAAAGACCAAAAAGAAAAAAAAAGAAAAGAAAAGUA
ensembl:lncRNA